rnacentral:sRNA from 1 species
AAUAAGAGGAGGAAAAG